GACAGAGGGUGCAAACGUUGUUCGGAAUUACUGGGCGUAAAGCGUGCGCAGGCGGCCUUGCAAGUCGGGCGUGAAAUCCCACGGCUCAACCGUGGAAGUGCACUCGAAACUGCUUGGCUAGAGUCUUGGAGAGGAAGGCGGAAUGCUUGGUGUAGAGGUGAAAUUCGUAGAUAUCAGGAGGAACACCGGUGGCGAAGGCGGCUUUCUGGACGACAACUGACGCUGAGACGCGAAAGCGUGGGGAGCAAACAGG
rnacentral:rRNA from 1 species